rnacentral:rRNA from 1 species
ACACGUAGCGGAGGACAUAUCAUAAGCGGAGGAGCAUAUCAAUAAGCGGAGGAGCAUAUCAAUAAGCGGAGGAGCAUAUCAAUAAGCGGAGGAGCAUAUCAAUAAGCGGAGGAACAUAUCAAUAAGCGGAGGAACAUAUCAAUAAGCGGAGGAACAUAUCAAUAAGCGGAGGAACCUAUUUAUCAUCGGGACGGACCUUUUCGAUAAGCGCAGGAACAUGUGAUUAGUAGUAUGAAUUGCUGAAUUCAGUGAAUCAUCUAAUCUUUGAACGCACAUUGCGCCCUCUGGUAUUCCGGGGGGCAUGCCUGUUCGAGCGUCAUUACAACCCUCAAGCCCAGCUUGGUGUUGGGAGCCACCCCAGCGGUGCUCCUCAAAGGCAGUGGCGGCGCCUCUCGGCUCUAAGCGUAGUAAUUCAUUCUCGCUCUGGGGACCUAGAGGUGGCUUGCCAGCAACCCCAAAUCUAUCAAGGUUGACCUCGGAUCANGUAGCGAUACCCGCUGAACUUAAGCAUAUCAAUAAGCGGAGGAAUUUGUUUA